AAAAACAUGGCCUCUCGGAAUUGAAACAAGAGAGGUCUAACCUGCCCGGUGAGCGUGUCUUAAACGGUUGCGACUUAGUCGUAUUGAGGUAGCAUAAUAAUUAGUCUUUUAAUUGGGGGAUGGAAUGAAUGGUUGAAUGAUGGGGUGUCUUUAUUAGUAGUAUAAAUUCGAAGUUUUCUUUUAAGUGAAAAGACUUAAAUUUUUUUGUUAGACGAUAAGACCCUAUUGAGCUUGAUAAUUUCUAUCAAUUUCUUGGUAUAAAUAAUUUUAAUCGGGACGGAUUGGAAGAUAAAAAAUGUCUUCUUACUAAUAUAAAGAUCCAGCAUGGCUGAUAAGAAGAAGAUAGCUACCAUAGGGAUAACAGCGCAAUCCUCUUUUAGAGGUCUUAUUAAGAGGGGGGCUUGCGACCUC
rnacentral:rRNA from 1 species